GGAGCAUUCCCUCACCUGGGUCAGUUAUGGCCAGCAGCACUCUGGUGCAGCACUCUAAUCUAUGCUGCAGUCUGGGACUUCCUUCAAGAUCCAGCAAGGAAGCUGAAUUGGUACUUUCUCAGAUCGUUUCUUUUUUUGCAAAGAAUUCAACAUACGCUCUGAAACUCAAGGUUCCACUCAGCUGGGGCUAAAGACUGAAACCAUCAUGGUGAUUCACAGUUCAGCAUGGAGAAAAUCAAGUUAUUGAGAGAUUAAAAUACAGAACCUGAUGGCCUCAGAAUACUUGCUUUACCUGUAGAAGACCCGCCAGUGGAAAGGCUUUGAAAUUUUCAUUGGAUUUAGCUUCAUCAGUUAAAAUCUGGUGUAACUAUUGCAGCAAAAGAAUUGAAGUCUUCCCUGGAAACUAAUAAAUAAUAUGAAGCCCAACCUUGCCCAGAUGACCUACAAGUGUUGCCAUUCUUCAGCAAAGGAAUUGCAAAGGGAAAUGGCUGGAGUUAGAACUUACCAAAAACACUGAUACCACUUGUUCAGGUUCAGAUCAAAAUCAUGGCUCUCUAUCCCACUCCAAGUAUUAUGGUUAGGAUACAGGGAUUUAAAUUGUUUAUCACAUUUUAAGAUAGUUUAUAGUAGUUAUUGAUGCUCUAAAUGGUUAUCACUUGUUUAUAUGCUCUCCACAGA